rnacentral:rRNA from 1 species
GGGCCCGCACAAGCGGUGGAGUAUGUGGUUUAAUUCGAUGCAACGCGAAGAACCUUACCAGGGUUUGACAUCCUGCGAAUCUCUUGGAAACGAGAGAGUGCCUUCGGGAACGCAGUGACAGGUGGUGCAUGGCUGUCGUCAGCUCGUGUCGUGAGAUGUUGGGUUAAGUCCCGCAACGAGCGCAACCCACGUCUUUAGUUGCCAGCAUUUAGUUGGGCACUCUAGAGAGACCGCCGGUGAUAAACCGGAGAAGGUGUGGAUGACGUCAAGUCAUCAUGCCCCUUACAUCUGGGCUACACACGUACUACAAUGCUACGGACAAAGAGCAGCAAGUUCGCGAGGACAAGCAAAUCUCAUAAACCGUGGCUC